GACGGAGGGUGCAAGCGUUAUCCGGAAUGAUUGGGCGUAAAGCGUCCGCAGGUGGCAGUUCAAGUCUGAUGUCAAAGACCGGGGCUUAACUUCGGAAAGGCAGUGGAAACUGUACAGCUAGAGUAUGGUAGGGGCAGAGGGAAUUCCUGGUGUAGCGGUGAAAUGCGUAGAGAUCAGGAAGAACAUCGGUGGCGAAGGCGCUCUGCUGGACCAUAACUGACACUCAGGGACGAAAGCUAGGGGAGUGAAUGGG
rnacentral:rRNA from 1 species